ACAGGACCCAGAUGCUAUACAGUGGGAAAACCAGCCUGGCAACAUAGUGCGUAUUAAUAAAAGGACACCACAUCCUGCCAAAUUCCAGCUGCGCUAAUUGUAUUGUGUUCACAGAGCUCACAAGCUAUCAGAAAGUUGUAUGGCAACCACCUCCGGCGCCAAAUAGAACUGGCAGACAUAGACAUUCAGUACAAGAAGAAAAAGAUGGAAAAUCUUGCACUGGAGUCGAAAUAAAAAAGAGGACAAUUAGGAAACUGGACCUUGAAAUAAAAAAAACUUGAGAGGGAGCUCCAAGAAGAUGACACAGCUCAAAAUAAAAAUUAGCAAUCAGUACAACCAAGUCAUCGUUAUAAGGCAUCGCCCUCUUUUGCCCACCCCCAGCACCAGGUGUGGCCACUAGCCUAUAUGAAGGCCCAAAAUUGUGUGUUCCUUUCUGCUCUGACAAUGGCAUGCCCAUUCGUGCGAGAUGUGGUGGAUGAAGACGCACUUGUGCUGAGGAGAGCCUUCAGGCGAGAAAGGGUCUUCAGGGACCGGUUGGACCCACUGGCCUUCCCUGAUGACCAUCUAUAUGAAAGAUACAGGUUUUCUGCAGAUGGCAUCAGGUAUCUAUGCAGACUACUGGGUCCCAGGAUUAAGCACCGCACUGCACGGAGCCAUGCACUGAGUGUGGAGCAAAUGGUUUGUGUGGCCUUGCGCUUUUUGCUAGUGGAGCCUUCCUGUACUCAGUGGGGGAUGCAGAACAGCUGAACAAGGCCACAAUUUGCCGCACAAUAAGGAGUGUGUGUCUGGCUAUCAAAGCAUUAGCAGAUGUCUUCAUCUCCUUCCCUGGCCACAGAAGACUCUGUGACAUCAAAGAGGAGUUCUAUAGGAUUGCAGAUGGUCUGCAAUGCUGACUGUGUGAUCAGCAAUGUUGUGGCAAAAUGGCCUGGCUCAGUCCAUGACUCCAGAAUCUUUCGGGCCUCUGAAAUCUAUCAGUGCCUAUC